rnacentral:lncRNA from 1 species
UCUUUGAUUUAUGUUCAUAUCUCCUAGAUCUUGUGUUAUGAUUUAGAAAAUUUCUAACAGCACUCUAUAGCUCCAUGCAGAAUUCUAAUUAGUGCCACCUUAAAACCAUAAGCCCUAUCUUCCUCCUCGGAUUCCAGAAUUCUAGGGUUUUGCAUUGUAAUUAAGGGGGGGUGUAGAUCUCAGAAAGCAACUGUGGCUAUGGAUCUAAGGGUGGGAGAGGGCCGGUUAGGUUGCUCAAAAUGGUGGAUGGAGUGUAUUUAGUAAAUUGCCAAUCACUCUCUCGUUCUAGCAUUUGAAUAAGAGAAAUUACUCACCCCAACCUUCAAAAAAGUUUAUUUGUGAUUAUGAUUGACCUAUAUUACUAGCAUUUUUAGCUUGACACUUAUCAGCGUGUCUCUUUAAGUAGUUUGUACCGUUGAUAGAACUUGUAAAAAUACAUUCACAGUAAUUACAAAAAGCUUUAUUCACUAUUUUUUCAUUUUCAGUGAUUGAACUAGUUGAAAAUAUUGCCAAACUAUCGAUCUUACUCUCUUAGAUGUCCUACCGACGCUACUAGAUGUGCUCGUGUUGGCAGCGGGUUCGAUUGAAUUAUUUGAGGUCAUUUCAGGUAUAUUAUCAUCACUCUAGGCCUUAAACUCAUUGUAUCUAGCCUCUUCAAAAUCUUUUAAAAUGUAUCAUGAUCCAUUUUUUUUAAAAGUAUUUUUUUUAAAUACUAACGAUAAAAUAAAAUAAAUUUUGAUACAACAAUACCUCAAGUCCGAAGCGUUUACAAUAUCGGGAUUCAACACUUCUUCACAUUUGAGAAAUUUCAAGCAAUCAAGUAAUUGAAAUUUCUUCAACACUUUCAGAAAAUUAAAAUCUUCUUGAUAUUUGUAGAAUAUUGAGAGGUAAGUAUAGAAUUAUUAGAUUGAGUAAAAAUUGAGUAAUAAAAAAGUAUGGAGGAUUAGAGGUAUUUAUAAGAAAUUUUGUGAGCUCAUUUGAUCAAUUUAUAGUUGUUGUGGAGGGGUAUUUGAGUUAUUUAUAGCUCAAUUAUCAUUUCACUCAAAAACUAGUAGUUAUAUAGUUGCUGACGGGCCGAGCGAGUUGGGUGGCGUGGUGGGCCGUGCUAGUUGGGUUUCGUGUCCAAACGGGCGAGGCCGGACUUCGUUAGGAGUACCUAGCCUAAGUCCGGUUGGCGGCGAGCUUUAGGCCAUACCCAUGCUCGAAUGGGCCAACCGACCUAGCCCGUGCCAAGUCCAGGCCGUACAGAGGGCGGGCUCAUCAGACUGAACUUCUAAAUGCAAACAAAAGAAGUAUAGGGUUAAAUUUGAAAAAAAUAAAAUACUAAGGUUUAAUCAGUUACAAUGGUUAAAACUUGGACUUUUUAUGUAGUUUUCUCCAAUAAUUUCUAUUUUAAAAGGAAAUUAAUUUUCUAUUUUAUAUAUUUAAAAUAAAAAUAAAAAAGAUAGAGAAUGACGAGAAGGGAAAAAAAUUAAUUAAAAUGGUGAUACCACGUCACCGUUGCCACGUAGUAUAUAAUUCAAUUACAAACUGCCAUGUUUGCAUAAAUGUUAACAUAUCAGUUAUUAAAUUCACCAUCUAGAGUUCCUCAUUUUAUUUGUAAGUUUAUUAAUAAUUAGUUAUACUAUGUUAUCAAUACCACGUGAUAUAAUAAUUACAUUGAAGAUUUACUUGACGAGAAGGACAGGGGAAAACGAAAAAAAGACACAAAUUAAAAUUAAAUAGUGAGAAAGUCAAAGCUAAUUAAUGGAGAGAGAGAACCAACCAAUUAUAAGUUAGGGAAUAAUUUUUUCGUCCUGGCACAGCAAGAUUUUAUGAUUUUGAUAUUCUAAUUUGACCCUUUUAAUUUGAUAUUAAGAUUGAUUGUUUCACUAAUGUGAUAAUUUUUUAAAAACAUGAAUGACACGUGCUAUUAUCAUUCAAUACUAAAUUAUUAUGUAAGUAUAAUGAAUCUCAUUAUAUUUAUAUUAUGGUUAUUUAUUUUUUAAAAUUGACAAUUUCGUUCAAGUAAUAAGUUUCUUUUAUUUUUUAUAAAUAUUCAUUAUUAAAUUGUAAGAACACGUAUCGCUGUUAUAAAUGAAUUUUUACUCGUUAAUGAUGGAUUGGGACCCCAUGGAUAUUUCUCCUCCGAAGAUCAUGCGGAGAUUUUCACCUCAUCGUGCCAUGUGCUUUUUUUCAUCCUUGGCCUAAAAAGAAGCUUUGACGUGAAGACAAGAUCUUUUAAAUAGGACCGGACAUCAUCGUUUCACGACGGUGGCUGCUUGAAAGUAACGCUGUACCCUUGUUUUAUUUUACUCUAAUCAAAUUGUUUUAAUAGUUGUCUUUCUAAUUUCUACAACUCGAAUUUUGUAGGCUAGCAAAUAUGAUAAAAAAUCAGAAUAUAAAAAUUUAAGAAUUAGGAAAGGCACAUUUAGAAUGCAUAUUUAAGAUAGUAAUUUUCUCGCUAUGAUGCAAAUAAACUCUUGAAAAUUUUAUCUCAAAAAUACAAUGCCUAUUAAUUUAAGAUUAAUUAAGGCUGCACUCCUUAAUAAUCUUAGGAUCAGAAUAUCACCCCAAAAAAGAAUAAUAAUAAAGAAUAGAAAGAGAGAAAAAUUUUCACUUCAUUUUGGAUUUCUUUAGUCUUAUUUAUAGAGAAUCAAGGAUAUCUCAAACUAUCAUACAUUUUCACUGAUAUGGGACUAAAGCCUCAAUCGUUUAAAGUUCGUAAUUUUUUGCAUACUAGCCGUUUUGGACAAAGUUCCAAUGGUCAAAAUUAUAGCCGUUGUGAGAUGAAGUCCCAACAGACUAAAAUUAAAACGAAACAACGCAUACUAAAUUAAACGAUAUUAAAACAAUCAUUAAUUAAAAUAAUAAUUAUUAUCAUUAAUUUAAAUUUUAAACUAAAAUCUCAUUUUUUUUCUCCUUUAUAUAUAUAUAGUUGAAAAGAAUAGAAGAAGAAUUUGUAGUAUGCUGAGAUCGAGAUCAUAAGUAUUUAUACACAAAGUAAAUUAAGUGAGGGGGAACAUGAUCCCUAAUUUAGGCUAAAAGUAAUGGGACAUGAUUCCUAAUUUAGGCUAAUAGUAAGGGGACAUGAUCCCUAAUUUAUGUCCUAAAUUGUGCCAUAAUAUAUGACACAAUAUAUUCUAAUCAAUCCUUAUUUUCAACACUUUCCCUCGAGCUGAGAGAAGAUACCAAUCAAGCUCCCAGUUUGACAAUAGAGGACUAAAGCGGAGACCGAACAAACUGGAAGACCCUAAUGGGAAAAGACAUUGAAAAAUUGAUAGAAAAGGCUAUGCAAGAUUGCAGGUUGAACGAUGCAGUAAGAGGCUGUGUAGAGAUAGUAAAGGCCCAAACGUCUAAAAGACCUCAAGAUAUCGACGACAAAGGCUAUGUGAGGUCGUAGACUGCAAGAGGCUGCAGGAUGUUGCAUGAGGCAAUAUGAGACUGCAAAGGGGUUGCAGGAAGGCCUAAAAGGCUGCACAAAGGCCGCAGGAAUAUCCAAGAGGUUGCAGGAAGUCUGCAGGAAGCUCCAAGAGACUGCAAGAAGUUUUAGAAGCCUGUAGGAGGCUGUUGGGGGCUGGAAAAGGGGUUGUAAGAGGCUGCAGGAAGGAAGCAGGGGCUGCAUCCGGCCACGACAGAGCCGACAACGAUGACGAAAGUCGAAGGGGCUAACCAAGAGCAACCUUGCUCUGAUACCAAGUUAAAAAGAAUAGAAAAAAAAUUUGUAGUAUAUUAAGAUUGA